rnacentral:rRNA from 1 species
ACGGGAGGCAGCAGUGAGGAAUAUUGGUCAAUGGGCGGAAGCCUGAACCAGCCAAGUAGCGUGCAGGAAGACGGCCCUAUGGGUUGUAAACUGCUUUUGUCAGGGAAUAAAAAGGAUUACGUGUAAUCCAUUGCAUGUACCUGAAGAAUAAGGACCGGCUAAUUCCGUGCCAGCAGCCGCGGUAAUACGGAAGGUCCGGGCGUUAUCCGGAUUUAUUGGGUUUAAAGGGAGCGCAGGCGGCGAUUUAAGCGUGUUGUGAAAUGUCCCGGCUCAACCGUGGCACUGCAGCGCGAACUGGAGGGCUUGAGUGCGCCGGAAGUAGGCGGAAUUCGUUGUGUAGCGGUGAAAUGCUUAGAUAUGACGAAGAACUCCGAUUGCGAAGGCAGCUUACUGUCGCGUAACUGACGCUGAAGCUCGAAAGUGCGGGUAUCGAACAGGAUUAGAUACCCUGGUA